rnacentral:rRNA from 1 species
AGUGAACGCUGGCGGUAGGCCUAAUACAUGCAAGUCGAACGGCAACACAGUAAGCUUUUGCCUUUACGGUUGGCGACUGGCGGGUGGGUGACGCAUACAUCGGCUUCUUCUUUUUCUUGGGGGAUAUCGUAGGGCAACUUCUGCUAACACCUCAUACCUUCUACCGCUUAAAUCAGUAGUUCUUCGCACCUUUCCCGUUUGUUUGAGCCGAUUCCGGAUUAGCUAGUUGGUUGGGUAAAGGCCCACCAAGGCAACGAUGCGUAGCUGGUCGGAGAGGAUGAUCGGCCACACUGGAACUGAGACACGGUCCAGACUCCUACGGGAGGCAGCAGUGGGGAAUAUUGGACAAUGGGCGAAAGCCUGACGCAGCAAUACCGCGUGGGUGAAGAAGGCCUUCGGGUUGUAAAGCCCUGUUGUUGGGAAAGAAAAGAAGUAGAAUAAAACACGGAUGUUCUGACGGUACCCAAAGAAAAAGCAACGGCUAACUACGUG